rnacentral:rRNA from 1 species
UGGGGAAUUUUCCGCAAUGGGCGAAAGCCUGACGGAGCAAUACCGCGUGAGGGAGGAAGGCUUUUGGGUUGUAAACCUCUUUUCUUAGGGAAGAAGAAAGUGACGGUACCUAAGGAAUCAGCAUCGGCUAACUCCGUGCCAGCAGCCGCGGUAAUACGGAGGAUGCAAGCGUUAUCCGGAAUGAUUGGGCGUAAAGCGUCCGCAGGUGGUUGUGCAAGUCUACUGUUAAAGAGUGAAGCUUAACUUCAUAAUGGCGGUGGAAACUGCAUAACUAGAGUGCGUUCGGGGCAGAGGGAAUUCCUGGUGUAGCGGUGAAAUGCGUAGAUAUCAGGAAGAACACCGGUGGCGAAAGCGCUCUGCUAGGCCGCAACUGACACUGAGGGACGAAAGCUAAGGGAGCGAAUGGGAUUAGAUACCCCCGUAGUCC